rnacentral:rRNA from 1 species
CCUACGGGUGGCAGCAGUGGGGGAUAUUGCACAAUGGGGGAAACCCUGAUGCAGCGACGCCGCGUGGGCGAAGAAGUAUUUCGGUAUGUAAAGCCCUAUCAGCAGGGAAGAAGAAAUGACGGUACCUGAGUAAGAAGCACCGGCUAAAUACGUGCCAGCAGCCGCGGUAAUACGUAUGGUGCAAGCGUUAUCCGGAUUUACUGGGUGUAAAGGGCGUGCAGCCGGAGAGACAAGUCAGAUGUGAAAUCCACGGGCUCAACCCGUGAACUGCAUUUGAAACUGUUUCCCUUGAGUGUCGGAGAGGUAAUCGGAAUUCCUUGUGUAGCGGUGAAAUGCGUAGAUAUAAGGAAGAACACCAGUGGCGAAGGCGGAUUACUGGACGAUAACUGACGGUGAGGCGCGAAAGCGUGGGGAGCAAACAGGAUUAGAUACCCUGGUAGUC